GAUGAACGCUAGCAGGAGGCUUAAUACAUGCAAGUCGAGGGGUAACGAUGGUGCUUGCACCAGGCGACGACCGGCGAACGGGUGAGUAACGCGUACAUAACCUGCCUACAAGAGGGAGAUAGCCCCGGGAAACUGGGAUUAAUAUCCCAUAAUAUUAUAAUAAUUAAUUUAUAAUUAAAGCUCCGGCGCUUGUAGAUGGAUGUGCGUCCCAUUAGCUAGUUGGUAAGGUAGAGGCUUACCAAGGCGACGAUGGGUAGGGGGCGUGAGAGCGUGAUCCCCCACACGGGUACUGAGACACGGACCCGACUCCUACGGGAGGCAGCAGUAAGGAAUAUUGGACAAUGGGCGCAAGCCUGAUCCAGCCAUCCUGCGUGUAGGAUGACUGCCCUAUGGGUUGUAAACUACUUUUAUAAGAGAAGAAAAAUCUGGAUUCAUCUGGACUUGACGGUAUCUUAUGAAUAAGCACCGGCUAACUCCG
rnacentral:rRNA from 1 species